GGGGACGCGUGGUUUCGACAGGGGAGGUAUGUUACAGGAUUGCAGGUUGAGGUGCCACUACCCUCAUAAAACAAGUGGCAAAAAUAAUUGGCGAACCUGAAUUGGUUUUUGCUAGCUAAAGAACGCUAGCACAUCCAACCUGACCUCACCUCAAUGGGUUGGGAUUGGGUGCCGAAAAAUUGAGGUGCCGCUGUCUGGAUGUCGAUAAGAGCGGUGAAAGAAUUAUCGGCUGGCCUGGCUAAACUCGGUCAGCAGAGGCUAGCCAGGUAAGAUAAAAGAGCUGACUAAGCUUGUAGUAUAUUCUGGGCAGCUUCUCUUGGACGGGGAGUUCGACUCUCCCCCGUCUCCACCA
rnacentral:tmRNA from 1 species